CAAUAGCGUAUAUUAAAGUUGUUGCGGUUAAAAAGCUCGUAGUUGGAUUUCUGCUGAGAACGACCGGUCCGCCCUCUGGGUGUGUAUCUGGCUCUUUCUUGGCAUCUUCUUGGUGAACGUUGCUGCACUUGACUGUGUGGAGCGCUACCCAGGACUUUUACUUUGAGGAAAUUAGAGUGUUUCAAGCAGGCAUACGCCUUGAAUACAUUAGCAUGGAAUAAUAAGAUAGGACCUCGGUUCUAUUUUGUUGGUUUCUAGAGCUGAGGUAAUGAUUAAUAGGGAUAGUUGGGGGCAUUCGUAUUUAACUGUCAGAGGUGAAAUUCUUGGAUUUGUUAAAGACGGACUACUGCGAANGNAUUUGCNGAGGAUGUUUNCAUUG
rnacentral:rRNA from 1 species